rnacentral:lncRNA from 1 species
GGGAGCUGUAGUGGGCUCAGAAAGGGACCUGAGUCAUUCUAACACCAGGACAGGAGAGGCUGGAGGGCCUGCUAAAAGUGUACUUGGGGGAUCCUGGAGGUCCCUAAGAAACACAGGCCUCCCUGCAGCAGGACCUAAAGGGGUAGCAUUCUACCUGCCCUACUUGUCCCUGAGCCAUUUCACUACUUCCAGGGGAGAGGGUAGCCAGUCCUCGCCCAGGCAGGAGGCCUGGCUAGCCUGGGUUGGGCCUCAGCUCUAGCAGGUGUCUGAACCAUGGUGGAACAGCCAAGUCGAAUGACUCUAGGGUGUCCAGAAGCCCAGAGACCUUGCCAGGCAGUCUUCCUGGCCCAUAGGUGCCUUAUAAGCUACCUUUUCCCCACUUCUGCCAAGCCCUCUUCAGGCUGCCUCCCCCUAUUCCCCAGGCCCACUCUGGCCUCACCCUCCUUCAAGGAAGUAAAGCUGUAUGCCUUCCCUGUGUUCCCCAGACACUGCAGGAGACUUGUGCCUGUUUCUGGGCCUUAGUGUCCUCAUAGAUGGGCAGUGACCUUGGGUCUGGCCCCUGGGAAGAAGCAGCACCUGUGUUUUGGGCCCCAGAAGAAAGCACUACCAGUGCCCUGCAGUGGAAGAGGCAGGCCAAGCUGAAGGUCACCCAGCCUGCAGAUGAAGUUACCAAGCUUAUUCCCAGCCAAGAGUGGCCACCUCCCACCACAGGGUCAAGGAAUCACUGCUAUGAUAGAAAUGUUUGUAUCCCUCAAAACCCGUGCUGAAAUCCUCACCCUAAUAGUGAUGACAUGUAGCAACUAGGACCUUUGGACUGUGCUUAGGUUGGAGGGAGAAGCCCUCAUGGCUGGGAUUAGUGGCCUUAUCCAAGGAGAGCUCUUGUUUGUCCCUUCGCCAUGUGAGGACACAGCUAAAAAGUGCCUUCUCUGGGGAAGCAGCUCUCAUCAGACAUGAAAAUUGCCUGCUCUGUGUUCUUGGACUUUCAGCCUCCAGGACUCCAACAAAUUUCUUUUUUCUUGUACCAGGGAUCAAACUCAGGACCUUGCACUUGCGAGGCAGGUGCCGGGACCACUGAGCUAAAUCCCCAGCCCCCCAACAAAUUUCUGUUAAGAAAAGAGAAAGAAACUAAAUGUAAAACAAAAAAUAAAAUUAUUUGUUGUGUAUAAA